CAGCCGCCGCGGUAAUACGGAGGAUCCGAGCGUUAUCCGGAUUUAUUGGGUUUAAAGGGUGCGUAGGCGGGUUGAUAAGUCAGUGGUGAAAGGUUUGCGCUCAACGUAGACAUUGCCAUUGAAACUGUCAGUCUUGAGUACAAAUGAGGUAGGCGGAAUGUGUUGUGUAGCGGUGAAAUGCAUAGAUAUGACACAGAACACCAAUUGCGAAGGCAGCUUACUGGGAUGUAACUGACGCUGAGGCACGAAAGCGUGGGGAUCAAACAGGAUUAGAUACCCUGGUAGUCCACGCAGUAAACGAUGAUUACUAGCUGUUAGCGAUAGAAUGUUAGUGGCUAAGCGAAAGCGAUAAGUAAUCCACCUGGGGAGUACGACCGCAAGGUUGAAACUCAAAGGAAUUGACGGGGCCCGCACAAGCGGAGGAACAUGUGGUUAAUUCGAUGAUACGCGAGGAACCUUACCCGGGCUUGAAAUGCAGAGGAAUGACGAGGAAACUUGUCCGCCAGCAAUGGUCUCUGUGUAGGUGCUGCAUGGUUGUCGUCAGCUCGUGCCGUGAGGUGUCGGCUUAAGUGCCAUAACGAGCGCAACCCUUAUUGAUAGUUACUAACAGGUUAAGCUGAGGACUCUAUUGAGACUGCCACCGUAAGGUGAGAGGAAGGUGGGGAUGACGUCAAAUCAGCACGGCCCUUACGUCCGGGGCGACACACGUGUUACAAUGGGGGGUACAGAGGGGAGCUACUUAGCGAUAAGAUGCGAAUCUCGAAAGCCUCUCGUAGUUCGGAUCGGAGUCUGCAACUCGACUCCGUGAAGCUGGAUUCGCUAGUAAUCGCGCAUCAGCCAUGGCGCGGUGAAUACGUUCCCGGGCCUUGUACACACCGCCCGUCACACCAUGGGAGUGGAUUGUACCGAAGCAGCUAGCCUAACCUUCGGGAGGGCGGUUACCACGGUAUGGUUCAUGACUGGGGUG
rnacentral:rRNA from 1 species